rnacentral:rRNA from 1 species
GAUGAACGCUGGCGGCGUGCCUAAUACAUGCAAGUCGAGCGAACGGACGAGAAGCUUGCUCCUCUGAUGUUAGCGGCGGUCGGGUGAGUAACACGUGGAUAACCUACCUAUAAGACUGGGAUAACUUCGGGAAACCGGAGCUAAUACCGGAUAAUAUUUUGAACCGCAUGGUUCAAAAGUGAAAGACGGUUUUGCUGUCACUUAUAGAUGGAUCCGCGCUGCAUUAGCUAGUUGGUAAGGUAACGGCUUACCAAGGCAACGAUGCAUAGCCGACCUGAGAGGGUGAUCGGCCACACUGGAACUGAGACACGGUCCAGACUCCUACGGGAGGCAGCAGUAGGGAAUCUUCCGCAAUGGGCGAAAGCCUGACGGAGCAACGCCGCGUGAGUGAUGAAGGUCUUCGGAUCGUAAAACUCUGUUAUUAGGGAAGAACAUAUGUGUAAGUAACUGUGCACAUCUUGACGGUACCUAAUCAGAAAGCCACGGCUAACUACGUG